AAGAAGCUGCAUCCUGAAAUUAUAGGGCAAGGUGGGGACAAAGACAGAGUGGUUCACUUAUAGUGAUUUGGCCGGUCCAGCAUUGCCCUCCAGUGGUCAAGUGCAGGAAUAUAGGAACCACAAACUCCUGGAGUUAAGUUAUGAGAAGGCUGCCUGUGGGUUAAGGAGGGGGCUCUGGCAUGGCUUCCCCAGAUGGAGGCUGGGAAAACAGAACUGGAAACUAUUCCAUGAAGAUUAGGAUUCACUAACAACUGGCCACCUUAGGAGGAAGAAGAACCUCCUAAUGAGGCACUGGCCUCCUUCCCCAAACCAAGAUGGAAAAUGUAACAAACCAUGACCAGUUUAGGAGCUGGAUAACUGUAGCAGAAUGUAUGAAAGCUUUCGGAAAUGUGGUGAAGUCAACACAGGAAGCAGCCCGUGACACAGUCUGAGCCCAUCAGGAUCUUAUUUUUAGAGAAGGAAGCGAGGAAGGAGCACAACAGUCAAGGAAGUAUUAAUUCUCCAAGUGAAAACACGUCUGGCAUGUGAAGCACUGGCUCCGCGAAGGAAUGGAUCACCAGAGGGGCAACAUCUGGGAGCUUAUUAUGGGAGUAAAUGAGUCAAACUGC